AGGUUGACCUCAGAUCAGGUAGGAAUACCCGCUGAACUUAAGCAUAUCAAUAAGCGGAGGAAAAGAAACCAACAG
rnacentral:rRNA from 1 species